rnacentral:rRNA from 1 species
GAAUAUUGGACAAUGGGGGCAACCCUGAUCCAGCCAUGCCGCGUGUGUGAAGAAGGCUUUCGGGUUGUAAAGCACUUUAAGCAGGGAAGAAGGGCUUGUACCUAAUAAGUUCGAGCAUUGACAUUACCUGCAGAAUAAGCACCGGCUAACUCCGUGCCAGCCGCCGCGGUAAUACGGAGGGUGCAAGCGUUAAUCGGAAUUACUGGGCGUAAAGCGCAUGUAGGCGGCGAGGUCAGUUGGAUGUGAAAGCCCCGGGCUCAACCUGGGAACUGCAUUCAAUACUGCCUGGCUAGAGUAUGAGAGAGGAAGGUAGAAUUCCACGUGUAGCGGUGAAAUGCGUAGAUAUGUGGAGGAAUACCAGUGGCGAAGGCGGCCUUCUGGCUUAAUACUGACGCUGAGAUGCGAAGGCGAGGGGAGCAAACAGG